GUGGACUAGGUGGCACACCUGGGUCCCACCAAAGAGGGGUCGGGCGACCCCCUCCCUGUGGGCCCAGGGUGUCACCUGUUGUCCCCUCGAUCUCCUCUUGAUGAUUCUGAUGUUGGCUUUGUCAAAUAAUGUCUUGAAUUUGUUGUUCCUGCAUAAACAAGCUAAGAGUACAAGUGGAACUAGUUAUGGAUAAAAUAUGUUCAUGUCAUGUCGUUUCCCCUUGCAACCGAGGCAUGUUGACGGUGUUUUGUAUGUGGAUUUCUAUGGUAUAUCCACCGUCAACAAGAUCCCCCAAGCUUAACCUUUGCUCGUCCCGAGCAAACAAUCAAACUUAGCCUCGGUGGAUCAGGUAUUGUUACUAUGUUCACAUUUCAAGAGUACCAUGUGUACAACAAAGUUCUUCUCUUUGCAUGAAAAAUUUAGCUAUGUAAACUUACCCCUAUUACCUUAGUCCCUUAUGGGGCUUAUGGCUUUUCCUUUGUCUUAGGUGGUUGAGAGACAGAACAGUUUGACUUGAGCACUAACUUUCUCAUUCUUAGCAAGUUUCAUAUCAGAGGUUUUGUGAUAUUUUCAAAAGAAAGCUUAAAUGUUCCUCUUAUGGUUCUCUCAUGUCACUCAAAUGGUGUAUGAUUCCUCACCAAGGCAUAUGGUAAGAGUUGCCUUCUCUAUUUCAUCCUAUUUCUAAAAGGCUUAUGUGGAGUUCAAGGUAGGGAUGAAAGGAGAUAGCAUACUUACUUUGCAUGUAUUGCGAAGUCAAAGCUCGGAUCCUUGAAGAGAAGUGUCAUACUAGGUUGCUCCUUUAUUUGAUAGACUCUCUAUGUAUUGAGACAUGGCUAGCAUUUUUUUUUCUUCUUUUUUUUUAUAUAUGAGCUUUCAUGUGCUCAAUUUUCUUUUUCUGUGGACUUGCACAUGUCCAUCUUUUUAUUUCAUUUUGCCUAGCCUUUUGAUGUCUCAUUUACCAAAUAAUGCUUAGAGAGAUGUUCUAACAUUUAGAGUAUGGAGCAACCUAUUUAGUGGAUGCGAAAUACAUGUGGUUGCGUACUUCCAGUGUAGAAGCAGCAUAUAUAUAUGUGGUGUGUACGUGAUCUUGAUCUUAGGAGCAUGAAAAGUCUCUUAACAAGGGUCAACAAGACUUGACGACACUCAACACAAAGCAAAUAGCUUAUGUGGAAAGGUUGCAAUUAUGUAAAGUAGAUAUGGCUGUGGUAGGAAUUCAUCACCAUUGAGGAACAAUUAAGGUUUUGAUCAUUUUAAGAAUAAAUCUCUGAUAAUCAUGCAUGCUUAGAAAAAUAUUAUAGUAGCUCUUGUCUUACUAUCUCAUGU
rnacentral:lncRNA from 1 species